rnacentral:rRNA from 1 species
CACGUAGGUGGUUCAUUAAGCGGUGUGUGAAAUCCCCGGGCUCAACCUGGGAACUGCAUGCCGAACUGGUGAACUAGAGUACAGUAGAGGGGAGUGGAAUUCCUGGUGUAGCGGUGAAAUGCGUAGAUAUCAGGAGGAACAUCAGUGGCGAAGGCGGCUCCCUGGACUGAUACUGACACUGAGGUGCGAAAGCGUGGGUAGCGAACA